AAACACACUGUGAUUUUGAAAAUAAAAAGGUGUAUCAUACCAAAAAUUACAUAAAUCGUCGUAAAUUUUAAAAGGAAUAGCCAUGGCGCUAAUUAUGUCGUAUUUAGCCAUCAGUUAAAUGAAGCCAUACCAACCGUAAUGACCUUAAAUGAUUAUGUCUCUGAUGAAACCAAUUACCCUUUACAAAACCAACCAUAUGCUCGUCAUGCCUUCCGUCCUCGCCUUGCUUAAAAUGUGCACCCAAAGUCAGCCAAAACCGUCUUGCUUUAUACCGCUUCAGUGAUUUAAACUAAGGGCCUUACAUCGUCGAAGGAACUCAUUAAGAUUAAACAUUUAGUUCGAAUAUCAUGCAAAAAAAUUGCCCUAAAAUAAAUGAAAUUAAUUUUUGCAUCAACGUGACUUAUUAUGUCGAAAGUAUGUGGCCUUACUUUUCAUAGAUGAAAUUAAAAAAAAGACUUGAUUAUUAACACUGUUCAAAGUGUCAAAAGACCCGAAAAUACUGACCUACGACACCUGCAUUAUCGCUAAGUGGUAAAACACCAGCACUUAAUUACCUAUAUAUAUCAAUAAACGAUAUUUCUUACAAAACAUGUUUCUUCUAUGUAUAAACAAAAAAUGGCAGUAUAAAAUGUCCGUGAUUACCCGAUCAAUGUUCAAAGUAAUCGUGAUAUGGGUUUUUCAACAACUUGUCAAUAAAUCAUCAAACCAAACAAAAAAUUCUAACGAAACCCGAUAAGAUAUUUACCAACGUCAUAACGCAUCCGAAAAUACAAAGUCCCACAUCCGAAGUUAUCGAAAAGGAAAAAGGCUUCGCAGCAGCAUGAUGUAAAUACACUUUUAUAUAUAAAUAUACAAGUUUCCACAGACCUUAGUAGAUACAACUGUGAGGUGGACGUAUCGUGUGAACCGUGAAGCAAAAAGCAAACGGUGUGCAAAAAAAAACAUCGAAUAAUUACUACAAAAACAUAAGAACAUAAAAGAUGUCGCACAAAUCCAGAUACAUUAUCAUCGUCACUGUAAUUCUGUUCGUGCAAGCAUUUUGCGCCGAAACUAACAGAAACGUCAUCACCAGCACGCUGCAAACUCCAGCCAAUCUCUCAUACAGCGAGCUUGUAUACAUUUUGGAAUCCAGACGUGGUCUGGCUGAUCAAAGAACCAGACGGCUAUCACCUUGUGCCAGAGCUAUCCUCGGCUGCUGCAAAGAUAAUAGGAUGAACGAAUCCUGCUCAGAAUCAUUGAACUGCGGAGCGUUUUUCUUUGACGAUAAUCCUUGUGAUGAAAAAUUUGUAUUAGAUGCUUUGAAAUCGGCGAAAGUGUUCUACAAGGAGUUGCAAGACCAACCGUCGAAGCACUGAAGUAAAGACUGUUUAGUUAGUAUUUUUUAUAGGCAUGUGAGUGAAUCUAUAGGUGUAUAAUAUCCCCAGUAACCCUUUUAUGAAAAGAUAAAGAUACGUAUCUUUUAAUAUCAAGCUGAAAAAAAGAAAAAAUACACGAAAAAAAAUCAAAUUAUCAAAA